GAUGAAGAACGCAGCGAAAUGCGAUAAGUAAUGUGAAUUGCAGAAUUCAGUGAAUCAUCGAAUCUUUGAACGCACAUUGCGCCCCUUGGUAUUCCGAAGGGCAUGCCUGUUCGAGCGUCAUUUGUACCUUCAAGCUUUGCUUGGUGUUGGGUGUUUGUCUCGCCUUUGCGUGUAGACUCGCCUUAAAAUAAUUGGCAGCCGGCGUAUUGAUUUCGGAGCGCAGUACAUCUCGCGCUUUGCACUCAUAACGACAGCGUCCAAAAGUACAUUUUACACUCUUGACCUCGGAUCAGGUAGGGAUACCCGCUGAACUUAAGCAUAUCAAUAAGCGGAGGA
rnacentral:misc_RNA from 1 species